rnacentral:rRNA from 1 species
ACGCUCGACACCUACGGGGGGCAGCAGUGGGGAAUAUUGGGCAAUGGGCGCAAGCCUGACCCAGCAACGCCGCGUGAAGGAAGAAGGCUUUCGGGUUGUAAACUUCUUUUGUCAGGGACGAAGCAAGUGACGGUACCUGACGAAUAAGCUCCGGCUAACUACGUGCCAGCAGCCGCGGUAAUCUGAGCGGGCUGGCAAGGC